CACGUAGGGCGCAAGCGUUGUCCGGAAUUAUUGGGCGUAAAGAGCUCGUAGGCGGCUUGUUGCGUCGACUGUGAAAACCCGCGGCUUAACCGCGGGCUUGCAGUCGAUACGGGCAGGCUAGAGUUCGGUAGGGGAGACUGGAAUUCUCGGUGUAGCGGUGAAAUGCGUAGAUAUCUGGAGGAACACCGGUGGCGAAGGCGGCAUCCUGGACCGACACUGACGCUGAGGAGCGAAAGCCAGGGGAGCAAAGCGGG
rnacentral:rRNA from 1 species